rnacentral:rRNA from 1 species
AGUGGCGAACGGGUGAGUAACGCGUUGGUGACCUGCCCCGAAGAGAGGGAUAGCAGUUCGAAAGGACUGAUAAUACCCCAUGUGGUUGUCGGUUUUAGAAUCUGAUAACUAAACGGCGAAAGUCGCUUCGGGAGGGGCCUGCGUCCCAUCAGCUAGUUGGUAGGGUAAUGGCCUACCAAGGCUAUGACGGGUAGGGGACCUGAGAGGGUGGCCCCCCACAAUGGAACUGAAACACGGUCCAUACACCUACGGGUGGCAGCAGUAGGGAAUAUUGGUAAUGUGCGAAAGCGCGAACCAGCAACGCCGCGUGCACGAUGAAGGCCUUCGGGUCGUAAAGUGCUUUUAGAGAGGAUGAGGAAGGACAGUACUUUCUGAAUAAGCCUCGGCUAACUACGUGCCAGCAGCCGCGGUAAAACGUAGGAGGCAAGCGUUAUCCGGAUUUACUGGGCGUAAAGCGCAUGCAGGUGGUUUUGUAAGUUGGAUGUGAAAGCUCCUGGCUUAACUGGGAGAGGUCGUUCAAAACUACAAGACUUGAGAUUGGUAGAGGAAAAUGGAAUUCCGGGUGUAGUGGUGAAAUGCGU